GGCAAAUGAAGGAGGGUGGAAACACACAUGCAAGACAGGCUGAGGUCAGAUUAAGAAGCGCUGAAUGGACAGACUAAGGAGCUUGGACUCUUUCUUGCAGAAAAUGGGACCAUCAGGGGAAUGGCCUGAUGUAACCUUGGCUUUUAUGAGAUAAUUCUGGAAGCCUUGUAAAUGAUGGUUUGGAAGAGACAGAAGGCAAGAGGCAACUUCUGCUAUCCCUGUCUUGGAAUCCAGUCACCAUGUAAAAAAUGCCACUGCCCUGAGACCACCCACCAUGCUGUUAAGAAGCCCAAGCAAGUGAAGUCACCGUAUACUAGAAUGAAAUUUGCAAAUUCACUUCAUUGCUUUCAAAAGGAUUUGGAUUCUCAGGCCGAAUUGUCCUGAAAUCAAAAGUGCAGUUGACACAGUUUUGCCUCUCAUCCUGAGCAUCCUUGUCCACCAUUAAAAUGUUUCUAACAAUGAAAGGAACUCACCAGAGCCCCAGACUCAGCCUACAAAUCAAGCUUUAUUUUUAAAUAUUAAAAAGAAAAAAAUCUGUUAGAUUGACUUUUACAAGGAAAUAAAGCCAGGUUACUGAAUGAAUUCAUCUGAAGGUUAUUUAUAGUUUUGUUGCUUGUUUGUUUUUAACCACAGACAACAUGUCUUAAUUGGAAUGGACAAUAAAGAUAAACUGCUUCAGCCCUCUUGUAAAAUGGUGCGUAGUGUGAUGCUCAUAGCUGAGAUUUGAAGAAAUACUUUCAUUCAUUUUCAUAUCCAUCCAGCAAUCAUUUGUCAAACAGUUAUUCAGCACUGAACCAUGGACCAGAAAAGGGACAGACAGAAGAAUAAGGCAACGUUGUCCUCUUGAAGUAGUUUGAAGUUUGGAGGGACACACAUUUAAUCAUUAAAUCUUCAGUAAGAAAAAACAUAACAUGUCUUGGCCGGGAGCGGUGGCUCACGCCUGUAAUCCCAGCACUUUGGGAGGCCAAGGCGGGCAGAUCACAAGGUCAGGAGUUCAAGAACAACCUGGUCAACAUAGUGAAACCCCAUCUCUACUAAAAAUAAAAAAAAUUAGUGGGGCUUGGUGGCGGGCGCCUGUAAUCCCAGCUACUCAAGAGGCUGAGGCAGGAGAACAGCUUGAACCCGGGAGGCGGAGCUUGCAGUGAGCCGAGAUUGCGCCACUGCACACCAGCUGGGUGACAGAGCGAGACUCCAUCUUAAAA
rnacentral:lncRNA from 10 species